rnacentral:rRNA from 1 species
UACGUAGGUGGCAAGCGUUGUCCGGAUUUAUUGGGUUUAAAGGGUGCGUAGGCGGUUUUUUAAGUCAGUGGUGAAAUACUUCAGCUUAACUGGAGAGGUGCCAUUGAUACUGGGAAACUUGAGUACUGAUGAGGUAGGCGGAAUGGACGGUGUAGCGGUGAAAUGCUUAGAUAUCGUCCGGAACACCGAUAGCGAAGGCAGCUUACUAAGGAGUAACUGACGCUGAGGCACGAAAGUGUGGGGAUCAAACAGG